GGGGAUAUAGCUCAGUUGGCUAGAGCGCCUGCUUUGCAAGCAGGAGGUCCGGGGUUCGAGUCCCCGUAUCUCCACCA
rnacentral:tRNA from 1 species